rnacentral:rRNA from 1 species
CGAUGACCACUUCGGUGGGGAUUAGUGGCGAACGGGUGAGUAACACGUGGGCAAUCUGCCCUGCACUCUGGGACAAGCCCUGGAAACGGGGUCUAAUACCGGAUACGACCUGCCCUCGCAUGGGGGUGGGUGGAAAGCUCCGGCGGUGCAGGAUGAGCCCGCGGCCUAUCAGCUUGUUGGUGAGGUAGUGGCUCACCAAGGCGACGACGGGUAGCCGGCCUGAGAGGGCGACCGGCCACACUGGGACUGAGACACGGCCCAGACUCCUACGGGAGGCAGCAGUGGGGAAUAUUGCACAAUGGGCGAAAGCCUGAUGCAGCGACGCCGCGUGAGGGAUGACGGCCUUCGGGUUGUAAACCUCUUUCAGCAGGGAAGAAGCGAAAGUGACGGUACCUGCAGAAGAAGCGCCGGCUAACUACGUGCCAGCAGCCGCGGUAAUACGUAGGGCGCGAGCGUUGUCCGGAAUUAUUGAGCGUAAAGAGCUCGUAGGCGGCUUGUCACGUCGA